rnacentral:rRNA from 1 species
GACGAACGCUGGCGGCGUGCUUAACACAUGCAAGUCGAACGAUGAAGCCGGAGCUUGCUCUGGUGAAUUAGUGGCGAACGGGUGAGUAACACGUGAGUAACCUGCCCUUGACUCUGGGAUAACUGCGGGAAACUGUAGCUAAUACCGGAUACGACCCUCGGAGGCAUCUCCUGAGGGUGGAAAGAAUUUCGGUCAAGGAUGGACUCGCGGCCUAUCAGCUAGUUGGUGAGGUAAAGGCUCACCAAGGCGACGACGGGUAGCCGGCCUGAGAGGGUGACCGGCCACACUGGGACUGAGACACGGCCCAGACUCCUACGGGAGGCAGCAGUGGGGAAUAUUGCACAAUGGGCGCAAGCCUGAUGCAGCAACGCCGCGUGAGGGAUGACGGCCUUCGGGUUGUAAACCUCUUUUGCCAAAGUUGAGAGACUUUGGAGAAUAAGCACCGGCUAACUCCGUGCCAGCCGCCGCCGUAA